GACGAACGCUGGCGGCGUGCUUAACACAUGCAAGUCGAACGGAAAGGCCCUGCUUUUGUGGGGUGCUCGAGUGGCGAACGGGUGAGUAACACGUGAGUAACCUGCCCUUGACUUUGGGAUAACUUCAGGAAACUGGGGCUAAUACCGGAUAGGAGCUCCUGCUGCAUGGUGGGGGUUGGAAAGUUUCGGCGGUUGGGGAUGGACUCGCGGCUUAUCAGCUUGUUGGUGGGGUAGUGGCUUACCAAGGCUUUGACGGGUAGCCGGCCUGAGAGGGUGGCCGGCCACAUUGGGACUGAGAUACGGCCCAGACUCCUACGGGAGGCAGCAGUGGGGAAUAUUGCACAAUGGGCGGAAGCCUGAUGCAGCAACGCCGCGUGCGGGAAGACGGCCUUCGGGUUGUAAACCGCUUUCGCCUGUGACGAAGCGUGAGUGACGGUAAUGGGUAAAGAAGCACCGGCUAACUACGUG
rnacentral:rRNA from 1 species